AAAUUGUUGUUAUUAAAUUUGAACCGCGCGCGUUAAUCUUUACCAACGAAUAAAUUAGGGCGAUACGCCUACUAUUACCAAGCGAGUCACUGCACGUUAGGUACAUGAAAACGCGCCUUGGCGGACAAACUCGCUUUGAAUGUGUCGUGUGUAUGUGAGACUGAAACCACAGUAUAUAUAGUAGCGCAACUCUCUGUCGGCACCUUUGAUGUUAGCGUAGGCUAAAACGAACUACACACGCGCGGGCAUGGUAGGUAACCAAUCAUUUCUUUCCAAGUUAUUAUAUACAUACUAUACAUAGUACGUUCCCGCAUCGUUGAAAGCGCCAAGUGGAACACUUGCGUAGGAUGAAAUGUGUCUGUUACUCUCAUAGAUCUUAUAUACCUGGAUAGGCCUUUUCCUGUAGAGAGAAAGAGUGAGAACAUAUCCAUUCAUCGUCCAUCCUUCACUUUACAGUAUACGAAACGCAUGCGCGAAAUGAUAUAUUAAAAAUGGCCAACAGUUCGGUUUCACGUAUGUGUCAUGAAUGUAACCUAUAAAAGUAAUUUAUUCAUUUAUCGAUAAAAUGACGAUAAGAUGUGAAGUAUGCGGCAGAUAUUGGUUAAAAAUGUGAUAAAAGUCACUCUCAGGGCCAAGAUUUUUAUGGUAAUCGCAGAAAUCAGCUCAUAAAUCUUAUUGUUUCUACUUACAUAGACAUAAGAUUUUAUCACAUAGCACGUGAAAAUAACGAAAAGCCAAAUAAAAUAUGUAAAAAAUUAACUAAAUUAAUUUUAUUUUCUCAUGACUGAUUCCUUGUAAAAUCAUCCCACAAAGUUUGAUGUAAAAGUACUACUAUAAGUUUAUAGAUACUAUAAGUUAAAAAUAGUAUUUAUAUUAUAUUAAUAUUGUUUAUAUUAUACUACUAAAUAACAUGCUAAUGAUAUUUGCUAUUA